UACGUAGGGUGCAAGCGUUAUCCGGAUUUAUUGGGCGUAAAGGGCUCGUAGGCGGUUCGUCGCGUCCGGUGUGAAAGUCCAUCGCUUAACGGUGGAUCCGCGCCGGGUACGGGCGGGCUUGAGUGCGGUAGGGGAGACUGGAAUUCCCGGUGUAACGGUGGAAUGCGUAGAUAUCGGGAAGAACACCAAUGGCGAAGGCAGGUCUCUGGGCCGUUACUGACGCUGAGGAGCGAAAGCGUGGGGAGCGAACAGG
rnacentral:rRNA from 1 species